rnacentral:rRNA from 1 species
AAACUUUCAACAACGGAUCUCUUGGCUCUCGCAUCGAUGAAGAACGCAGCGAAAUGCGAUAAGUAAUGUGAAUUGCAGAAUUCAGUGAAUCAUCGAAUCUUUGAACGCACAUUGCGCCCUCUGGCAUUCCUCAGGGCAUGCCUGUUCGAGCGUCAAUA